CCAUCCGUACCUAUUGACUAGAGUAAUUGGUUUCACUAUAGGAGCACAAUAUAAUGAUAACCACUAUUACAACUUGUUCAAAGUGGUCCAAUACCCUUUUGUUCCACUCAUGAAUGCUGUGUGCCUGUUUCUCUUUAUCAGUCAUGGAGUCUUGGGAUAAAGUAACAUUAGCAUUUAGCAUUUAGCAAUGUUUGCCUAAUUCACUAACUUUUGUGUUUUUGAGUA